rnacentral:rRNA from 1 species
GGCAUGCUUAACACAUGCAAGUCGAACGGUAGCAGACCGCUGGGAUCCCUUCGGGGUGACCUUGGUGCUGACGAGUGGCGGACGGGUGAGUAACGCGUAGGAAUCUGCCUGGCAGCCGGGGGACAACUCCGGGAAACCGGAGCUAAUACCGCAUACGCCCUACGGGGGAAAGAUGGGGAUCUUCGGACCUGUCACUGCCAGAUGAGCCUGCAUUAGAUUAGCUUGUUGGUGGGGUAAUGGCCUACCAAGGCGACGAUCUAUAGCUGGUCUGAGAGGAUGAUCAGCCACACUGGGACUGAGACACGGCCCAGACUCCUACGGGAGGCAGCAGUGGGGAAUAUUGGACAAUGGGCGCAAGCCUGAUCCAGCAAUGCCGCGUGUGUGAAGAAGGCCUUAGGGUUGUAAAGCACUUUCAAUUGGGAAGAAAAGCACAGGAUUAAUACCCCUGUGUCUUGACGGUACCUUUACAAGAAGCACCGGCUAACUCCGUG